UGCAUUCACUACUAUAAGUCCCUCUGGAUAAGAGUGUCUGCUAAAUGACUAAAA
rfam:Salmo salar isolate Sally breed double haploid chromosome ssa06, whole genome shotgun sequence.